GUGGCUGGCUGUGUUGAUGGCACCGCCUGCACAGUCGCGUGCUUACUGACUGACCUCCCAGUGAGGACCACAAACUUAACUUUUUCAACAGAAAUCUCUGGGUUAACGCUAGAAUAUCAAUCUGAGUAACGCAUUCAGUUCAAACAUUAACAUGUAUCAUUUCCACAAUUGUCUUGCCGUCCCUCCCCGUUCUGUGAUUGGUUCCCCAACUCAGGCGAAAAUCGGAUCCAUGGAAUCCAUGGAAUCCAGGCUGCCUAGCAGCGCAAAAUGAAAUUGCGCACAAGGCAGCAUGGCUAUAGCCAGGCUAUUUUGGAGGCGGGACACGUUCAGAAUUCCAUUCAUAAAUUAACAGACGUGACCGUGACGUGAAUUGUCUGGCAGGCUGAAAUUUGAGAGGGGUUCUGGAAGUGUCCAUGGUAAGAUUGUUAAGCAUGACGAAGGAGAAGUGUAUGGAAGUAAAUCUGUGCCAUCGGAUUUUGAAAAUAAAAAGCCAUUGAAUUCUAAGCUCUGAAUAUUAAUGCAUUGAAAUAACGUAUCUGGAUUUGAAUUUCAACGUAAUCAACGUCCCCACGUUGAAGUUUUUGACGUUGAAUCUUUGAUUUUGAAUUUUUAACAUUGAAAAACAAAGCUGAAUAGGAGUUCCAUUCAUAUCCAAAUACGUUAUUUCAAUGCAUAAAUAUUCAGUGCUUAGAGUUCAAUGGCUUUUUAUUUUUAAAAAAUCCGAUGGCAGAUUUACUUCCAUAGAAGUGACUCAAACAUUUUGUGGUUGAGAGGGCGUAUCGGUUUCCACCAUAGGUUUCUACAGGAAAAAAUCUGUUUUGGGGUGGGGGAAUCUAGAGCGGUUCUCCUCAUGAAGAAAUAUUCAGUUUCUAUUGUCAUACCAAAUGGAUAUGAUCAACAAAAAAACAAGGAAUUGAAAGCUACUUACAAUAGGCCUAGGCUACAUUCAUUUCCCCUGAUGGCAGCAAUGUUCCACUUUCAGCUGGAAUUCACCGGUACAUCAAAACCACUUGUCUUCAUUAGAUUUCAGUUCCCUUUAUUUACUCACACAGUUCAGCAGAGGCAGGCAUUCAUUCAGAAUCGGAGCCCACAUUAAAGCUGCAUUCAGGGCGACUAUCUGCCCAAAAAUGGAUGCGCUAUAAAUGGUUUUGUGUAUAGCAGUCAGGAACAUGGGCAUAGUUGUGGAAGUGCUGGUGUUAGAAAACAAAGUUGACGGGAAUUAAAGUGCUGCACAUCGACUGUACAAAUGUAGAUUAUUCAUCACAAGAAUUUUAAUUCAGAAAUCGAAUAGGCUAAUAAACUCUGAAUUGUGAGAUAAAAUCCGAAUUCUGAUAAUUAAAGCCAGCAUUAAAGGUUCAUUUAAGAAGGUUCUCACUAGUCAUUUGUCGCCUGGUCGCGGUGUCAAUUUUUUUUUAAAGUAGGCUAGUUCACUAGUCGUAGCGCGCAAUCAUUUGCAGUGUCAGAAUUCUGAUAAUUUAGUCAGCAUUCAGAUUUCUCAGAAUUCUCUGACGCUGCAAAUUAAAAACUACUUUCAGCGUUACUUGAGAACUUCCUUAAAUUAAUCUUUAAUGCUAGAUUUGCAUGAACGCUAUUGCGUGAAUUAGUUUGGUUCUCUUUCAUGGAAGCCGGAAGUGGGAGAUUCCUUAUUUUUUUUACCAUUGUCUUAUUAACAAAUUUCUCCUACAGGGGAUUGAUAAAGUUAUAUCUAGACUAUUGAAGAGAAAGACACACUUGGUCAUACUUUACACACUUUACCACAGCAUUGGCCUACUGAAUGCCACAGAUAUAUUUUCAGCAUUGGACUGAAUGCCACAUAAAUAUAUAAUUAUGUUUUUGCACGUUUGCAACGUUUAAAAGUUCAGGGUAUAAAGUUCAAGCAUAUGCCUCUACUUGUAUUGCUUAAGCCAAUUGCCUUUAUAAGGCAGUGUUUUUUCUGAAUAUUAGUGUUAAGAGCCAAUAAUGCUUAAUAUCAUAUGUUAGUUACCAUGUCUGUGGACACAUUUGUAUGUAGUCAAAUGUAAAUAUAAAAAAAAAUAUAUAUAUAUUAUGAUGGUGUAGCCAUGCAUGUUGUUUUAUUGUUAAUAUGUCAAUUUGUUUUUUAUUGAAAAUACUUUUAAUAGAUGAAUUAUCCCCAAACUUGUCAUCGUAACACCUUAAAAAUAAACAUGACUUAACAUGGCAGAUACCUGUGUUGUUUAUCAUAUGCGGUAAGAGUAACUUUUUCAACUCAGUUCCUUGGUAGAACCCACUUACAGUAAAAGUAACUUCUGAUGGAAAAAAAGAUGCGGAUGAAAACACUUUUCUUAUCUAUUGUUACUAUUAUAUUGUUUCAAAUGUACGCAUAUAUAUAAAAUAUAUAUAUAGCGUAUAAAAAGUGGCUGGUAAAAAAGAUGAGUGUCUGGUAGAUUUUUUAAAUCUACCUGCCACAGUGGCUGGUGGGCAAAAAAGUUAAUUUCCAUCCCGUGUGUGUGUGUGUGUGUGUGUGUGUGUGUGUGUGUGUGUGUGUGUGUGUGUGUGUGUGUGUGUGUGUGUGUGUGUGUGUGUGUGUGUGUGUGUGUGUGUGUGUGUGUGUGUGUGUGUGUGUGUGUCA